rnacentral:rRNA from 1 species
GACGAACGCUGGCGGCGUGCUUAACACAUGCAAGUCGAACGGAAAGGCCCUGCUUUUGUGGGGUGCUCGAGUGGCGAACGGGUGAGUAACACGUGAGUAACCUGCCCUUGACUUUGGGAUAACUUCAGGAAACUGGGGCUAAUACCGGAUAGGAGCUCCUGCUGCAUGGUGGGGGUUGGAAAGUUUCGGCGGUUGGGGAUGGACUCGCGGCUUAUCAGCUUGUUGGUUGGGUAGUGGCUUACCAAGGCUUUGAAGGGUAGCCGGCCUGUGAGGGUGACCGGCCACAUUGGGACUGAGAUACGGCCCAGACUCCUACGGGAGGCAGAAGUGGGGAAUAUUGCACAAUGGGCGGAAGCCUGAUGCAGCAACGCCGCGUGCGGGAUGACGGCCUUCGGGUUGUAAACCGCUUUCGCCUGUGACGAAGCGUGAGUGACGGUAAUGGGUAAAGAAGCACCGGCUAACUACGUG